CCUACGGGGGGCAGCAGUGAGGAAUAUUGGACAAUGGAGGGGACUCUGAUCCAGCCAUGCCGCGUGCAGGAAGAAUGCCCUAUGGGUAGUAAACUGCUUUUAUACGGGAAGAAAAAGGGGCACGUGUGCCCUACUGACGGUACCGUAAGAAUAAGGACCGGCUAACUCCGUGCCAGCAGCCGCGGUAAUACGGAGGGUCCGAGCGUUAUCCGGAAUUAUUGGGUUUAAAGGGUCCGUAGGCGGGCGAUUAAGUCAGUGGUGAAAGUCUGUAGCUCAACUAUAGAAUUGCCUUUGAUACUGAUCGUCUUGAGUUAUAGUGAAGUUGCCGGAAUAUGUAGUGUAGCGGUGAAAUGCAUAGAUAUUACAUAGAACACCGAUUGCGAAGGCAGGUGACUAACUAUAUACUGACGCUGAUGGACGAAAGCGUGGGGAGCGAACAGGAUUAGAUACCCCGGUAGUC
rnacentral:rRNA from 1 species